rnacentral:hammerhead_ribozyme from 1 species
GUCUAGCUGAUGAGUCUCAAAUAGGACGGAACGCGUGUCAAACUGGAU